CUGAAUAAACAAAUCUACAUGCCUCUGUCGACAGAGGCAUGUAGUGUAGACGUACCCUAUAUGCAUAAACAUUCAAAGAAGAAAGGAUACUUAUCUUACAGUAGCUGAAGUCAAGGAGCAUUGUCCAAGUUGAUUCCACGACCCACAUUGGGAUCCUACCCAAUGCCAUAGGCUCUUAUAAUAUCUGAGUUCUGCCAUAGUGAAGGAAAUGAAUAGAAUUUGUUCCUGUUGCACCCUUUAGGCCCUUGUUAUGAAAGAAUGAGGAGACUUAGCGUACGUCUACACUGCAUGGCUAUUUUCGGAUACUGGAGGUAUCCCAAAAUACCUAUCCCACAUCUGCACAAGCCGCCCAUUAUUUCGAAAUAUUUUUCAAAAUAAGGGGCAUACUAUUUCGACAUCCCAGUAAACCUCAUUACACAAGGGAUAAGGGCUCAAAAUAGCUGCGUAGACACACCAAAUUGAAAUAGAUUCAAGAAACACAGUAUGGUUAGCACAAAUUGCAUCUCUUAUUUGAGUUUAGGGUGCUGUGUAGACACAUCCUUAGUGUGCAUGCAUGGCUCCAACAAGCUAACAGAAUGUGAUCUCAAACACAUGGGGGUGCAUGUGAUCAAGAAUGGAAUAUAUGUGGACAAAAAACCACAUAUCUCAAAGAACCACAGUUGCUGUAAGAUAUUUCUCUCUGGGAGCUGUCAUCAGAUUUAGUGGCAGGAGCACUCCAAGAUUUUUACUUCUGACUGAAUGAAGACACACCCUUACAGAAGUAACUCUGAGAGAGGUGCAGCAUGGCUCAUCUCCUUUUGCAGGUUGAGGGCCAUCAAUUCCAUCCUGCUACGCAGGGUCAUCGCCUCGGAGACAUGGACCCGAUCGUGGCUGGAUUUGCUGCUCUGGGGUUCCCAAACUGCAGUGGAGCCACAGAUGGGAACUACAUCUGGAUUUGUGCACCUGAACAUCGAGCAGCCCAAUCUAUCAACCACAAGUGCUAUUUUCAAUAGUGCUACAGGCCCUUGUCGACCACCAAGAACAGUUCACGGACAUUUCUGGUGGGUGCUUGGGCAGGGCACACGAUGCCCAUGUCUUUUGCAACUUGAGCUUCUACAGCAAGCUGGAGGUGGGCUCAUUCUUCCCCUGCCGUGACUUUGUGGUUGGGGCUGUGCAGAUGCCACUGUGCAUCAUGGGGGAUUCAGCCUAACCACUCAUGCCAUGGAUAAAGAAACCCUAUACUGGCCACCUGGACCCCAGCAAGGACCAGUAUAACUCCCACCUCAGCUGAGUGAGGAUGCAGGUGGAAUGCACCUUUGGGCACCUCAAGGUGUGUUUCUGGUGUCUCCUGACCCACCUCGAUGUGGGGGAGCACAAUAUCCCCGAGGUGAUGUUGGCAUGUUGUGUCCUCCACAACAUUGUGGAGAGGAAGAGGGAGGCCUUCCUACUGGGGUUUGGGGCAGAGGCUGGCUGAGAAGGGAGGGACUUCAGGCAGCUGCGGAACCCAGUAACUCUCCCCAGGACCUCCCCACUAAGGUCUUUAUUCUGGCUUGUUCCAAUAUCCCUUUCCCACCACAAACCCUCCAUUCGCCCCUUCCCUAACUCCAGAAUAAAGACACCUGUUUGUAUUUUAACAGAACAAACUGUCUAUUUAUCUUUCAUUUACAAAAGCUGGGGAGCGAGAGGGGACCUCAGAGUUGACAGUGGUGUGGUGGGUAGCUGGAUUUCCCACCUUGGGUGCGGGGACCUCGUUGAACUUGGGG